CGCGACCCCCGGCGCAGGCCGGGCGGCCGUGCGCACCUUCGUGUCGCACUUCGGGGGCCGCGCGGUGGCGGGCCACUUGACGCGCGUCGCCGAUCCCUUGCGCACGUUCUCGGUGCUGGAGCCGGGCGGGCCCGGAGGCUGCGCGCAGAGGCGCCGCGCCACCGUAGAGAACACGGCGCGGGCUGCCGGCUGCCUCGUCGCCCAGAACGGCGGCUUCUUCCGCAUGAGCACCGGCGACUGCCUGGGAAACGUGGUGAGCGACGCGCGGCGGGUGAGCGACGCCGGGGGGCUGCAGAACGCGCAGUUCGGGAUCCGCCGCGACGGGACCCUGGUCACCGGGUACCUGUCUGAGGAGGAGGUGCUGGACUCGGAGAAUCCAUUUGUGCAGCUGCUGAGCGGGGUGGUGUGGCUGAUUCGAAAUGGAAGCGUAUACAUCAACGAGAGCCAGGCCACCGAGUGUGAUGAGACACAGGAGACAGGUUCCUUUAGCAAAUUUGUGAACGUGAUGUCGGCCAGGACAGCCGUGGGCCACGACCGGAAAGGACAGCUGGUGCUCUUUCAUGCAGAUGGACAGACAGAGCAGCGAGGCAUUAACCUGUGGGAGAUGGCGGAGUUCCUCCUGCAGCAGGACGUGGUCAACGCCAUCAACCUGGAUGGGGGUGGUUCGGCCACCUUCGUGCUCAACGGGACCUUGGCCAGUUACCCGUCGGAUCACUGCCAGGACAGCAUGUGGCGCUGUCCCCGCCAUGUGUCCACUGUGGUGUGUGUGCACGAGCCCCGCUGCCAGCCGCCUGACUGCAGUGGCCACGGCACUUGUGUGGAGGGCCGCUGUGAGUGCUCAGGGAGCUUCUGGCGGGGUGCGGCCUGCAACGAGCUGGACUGCGGCUCCUCCAACUGCAGCAGGCACGGGCUGUGCACAGAGACUGGCUGCCGCUGUGACUCGGGGUGGACAGGGUCCAACUGCAGUGAAGAGUGUCCCCUGGGCUGGUAUGGGCCAGGAUGCCAGAGGCCUUGCCGGUGUGAGCACCAGUGUCCCUGUGACCCCCAGACUGGUGAUUGCAUCAGCUCCCAAGUGAAACAGUGUCUCUGGGCUCCAGAGGUGACCCCAAGGGCAGCAGAGCUCUCCUUUUUCACCAGGACCACCUGGCUGGCCCUCACCCUGGCCCUGGUUUUCUUGCUGCUGAUCAGCAUCUCAGCGAACGUGUCCUUGCUCCUGGGCUCCAGAGGCGAGAGGAACCGGCACCUGGAUGGGGACUAUGUGUACCACCCCCUGCAGGAGAUGAACGGGGAUCUCCUGGCCAUCGAGAAGGAGCAACCCGGGGACGUCCGUGAGCCCUUCAAGGACUGACAGCCCGAGCGGCUAGGACGGCCCAUUGUGGAGGCUUGUGUUCACGUUGGCCUCUGCCAUGAGGCACUGUGGCCACUGACAUAGACACCUGGGUGGCCUCAGCCAGGCCCCGCUGCCUCCAUCCCCCUCCCAGCCAUGGCCCCACCUGGCUAUCUGCAUGGUACAUGCGACCCCAGCAAUACAGGGCUGCUAGAGAGACUGCCUGCCUCACACCUGCCUGGCUCUGCCACCUAGAGGCCAUCCCCCGGAAGGCCUGUGCCACUGGCAGAGAGUCCCAGGAGGUCCACUAGCAAACCAGCCAGUGACUGCAUUGUGACAUGCAGAUCCCAGCCUGCCUCCUGGACAGGUGGAGGAAAGACAAGAAUCUGCCCUGACCACAUCACAGAACCCUUUUCUACACAGCACAUCACCGACUUGCCAGCCAGAGUCAGGAUCCUUCUUGGAAGGACAGGGAAGGCAAAGCCACCUUGCUCACUGACCUGUGUGGUUUCCCACUGCCUGCCGGUUUUCUGUCACCUGAAUAAAUUGACGUCCUGCAGGGAGCCACUAGGUGGCGUCUGCACUCCAGUCCUGGUCUUGAGGACUCUCCAGGCUCCUAACCCCAGGGGAACCGAGGCACUGGGGCCUCCCUUGUGAUCCAGUGCUUCCGAAGCCUUGCUGUGCACAGCAUCGUUGGAGGAUCAUGGUCACCCAGGGACUCUGCCAACCUGGACUAGGAUCAGCGACUUAGCUGGGCCCAGCUCCUGUCUGCAGUCAGCUAUCGUCCAGGGGCUGCCUGGUGUGGGGUGGUGAAUGCUGAGGACAAGGGGCUUACUCAGGCAUGGGUCCCUGUGGAGACGGGUGCAAGAGAGGGAGGAAGGGACAGAGGUGUGCGGGACUGCAGUUGAAGGUAGUGUGACCUCCCUUCUCCACAUUCUGUCAGAUAAACCAAGUUGCCAAUCUAGCCCUGGUUCAAGGCCAGACAGGUGGGGGAGGGUCCUGAAUCCACAGGAAGCGCCCCCAGGGGGUCUGAGGCAGCAGUUCUAUGAGCCUUUCCUGAGCUUCUUUGUGCUGACAGCUAAGCUGAGCAAGUGACUACUGUGCAUCCACUUAGCAGGAUCUAGACCCAGCCAGAGCAAGCGGACCUGGAGUGGGUCUGCCAUGGCAUGCUGCGGGGGUCCCUACAAGGUGAUGACAGCCAUGUGAACCUCCCUGGGGCCUUGCAGAACUGAUUUUGUCACACAGUUGUCUGUUAUCUUUGCCUACCCAACAUCCAGUUCCUCUUUUAUUAUUUUGUUUUGUUGGUUUUUGAGGCCAGCCGACCUUGAACUUGAGAUCCUCCUGCCUCAGCCUCUGGGAUGCUGAGAUUACAGUUGUGCACAACCAUUCUCACCUCAGGCCCUCUUUUAGUAACACCUCUGCCUGUAGCUGAGCUGACCCUGAGCAAGUGGUUUCAGAGGUGACUCCAGGAAGUGCCAGUAGGGUGAAGGAAGGGAAGGGAAGGCAGCCAGGUGAACAGUGAGCAGGGGCUUGGUCCUGCUGGGGACCUCUGGGGCUGUAAGACAUGCUUUGGGCUGUAGACUACUGGAGGCCAAAGAAGCUGGGCGUGUGUUUAUCAGCACCCAUUAUUGCUGGUGUGGCUGCUCCUGGGGUCACUUCUCCAAUGCCCUCCAGAGGGACAGAGUGCUCAGAUGGCCAACAGACAGAAAGGUGUGGCUUCUUGUAUCAAGACACCCUCUGGGGGCCUGGAGUGGUGAUGCAUAGCUAUAAUCCCAGCACUCAGGAGGUUGAGCCCUCUGUGGUAUGUGGGUGUCCAGGAAACUGGGCAGGUGCCAAGAGCCUUGGCUGAGGGUCUCUUACCAUGACCUUUAGGGCACUAACUGUCCAUCCAGGUGCUGUGGCUGCCAUUGUCCCUUCCCUCUCCCACCAAGUUUGAGAUGGGCUUCAGGGAUUGGUCCAGACAUGGGCAUUUGUGACAGGUCAGUCAGUCAGUACCCAGCUCACACCUGGUGCUGAAAUGGUCCAAUUCCCAGGGUGAGAACCACUCAGAGGAGUGUGGGCAGUACCUGACCUGAACCGAGGCAGAGGGAGCAGCCAAUGGGCGUAAGAACCAAAGAGUGGGGAGAGACAGGAUAGGGUUUGAGCACAUGGAUCUGGCUAUAUCUGAUGUCAGUCAUCUUGGACUUGGCAGGAACGUGGACCAAUAAAUCCUUGUUCUUGUUUGAGAUAGUUUGUGUUUGAUCUUGGGGCAACCGAAAGAGUGUGACACCCAUCAUGUACCAUCCAGGACAGGCACUGUUUUGGGUUGCUUUGAUUUGUGUGGUGCUGGGGAUGGAACCCAGGGCCUCAUGCAUGCUAGGCAAAUGCUUCGCCACUAGGCUGCACCCCAGCCUUGCACUUAGAUGGGAAGUGGGGUUCCAAUACCUACUGGGGGGCACAUGUGACAAAUACAC